rnacentral:rRNA from 1 species
UACGUAGGGCGCAAGCGUUGUCCGGAAUUAUUGGGCGUAAAGAGCGUGUAGGCGGCCAGGUAGGUCUGCUGUGAAAACUCGAGGCUCAACCUCGAGACGUCGGCGGAAACCAUCUGGCUAGAGUCCGGAAGAGGAGAGUGGAAUUCCUGGUGUAGCGGUGAAAUGCGCAGAUAUCAGGAAGAACACCAGUGGCGAAGGCGGCUCUCUGGGACGGUACUGACGCUGAGACGCGAAAGCGUGGGGAGCGAACAGG